rnacentral:tRNA from 1 species
GCCUGGGUGGCGAAAUUGGUAGACGCAGCGGAUUCAAAAUCCGCCGGGGUUAAACCCGUGACGGUUCGAGUCCGUCCCUAGGCACCA